AACUUGAAAUGCUGAAAAAGGAGUGAUCUUGUUUCAACUAAGUGCCUAGAAAACAGAAGGCUUUGAAAGGGGAAUCAACAUGUUACUCAAAUAUGGAAGCUACUUAACUACCCAAGACAGUUGGUAUAACAGUGUUAUGUAUCACAGAAAGAAACUGUGUUCUAUCAGACAAUGAAUGCAGAAAUGUUGUAUGCAGAAAAUCGAGCUCCUACAGAAGGCUCUAGAAAAUCUCCUACAGAGAUUUAGCACCUACAGAAGACUGUAAGAAACAGCGUAUACUCUGUCACACCUGUACUGUGGCCCACAAAAAAAAAAAAAAAAGACAGAUAUGUGUGUAGGUUAUGUGAAUUGAUAAUAGAUUCAUAGGAAAUUUUACAGAAUCACAGAAUAUUCUGAGGUGGAGCUUGCAAUUACAAUUCUCAUGUAUCCGUCAGGAAGUUGAGAAAGAGAAUCCCGUCAGUGCA